GAUGAACGCUGGCGGCGUGCUUAACACAUGCAAGUCGAGCGAAGCACUUAUGAAAGAUUCUUCGGAUGAUUUCAUUUGUGACUGAGCGGCGGACGGGUGAGUAACGCGUGGGUAACCUGCCUCAUACAGGGGGACAACAGCUGGAAACGGCUGCUAAUACCGCAUAAGCCCUUAGCACUGCAUGGUGCAUAGGGAAAAGGAGUAAUCCGGUACAGGAUGGACCCGCGUCUGAUUAGCCAGUUGGCAGGGUAACGGCCUACCAAAGCAACGAUCAGUAGCCGAUCUGAGAGGAUGUACGGCCACAUUGGGACUGAGACACGGCCCAGACUCCUACGGGAGGCAGCAGUGGGGAAUAUUGCACAAUGGAGGAAACUCUGAUGCAGCGACGCCGCGUGAGUGAAGAAGUAUUUCGGUAUGUAAAGCUCUAUCAGCAGGGAAGAAAAUGACGGUACCUGACUAAGAAGCACCGGCUAAAUACGUGCCAGCCGCCGCCGUAA
rnacentral:rRNA from 1 species